CGGAACUGCCCGGUCCUGCCCGCUGGGGAGUGUCUCCAUUAGCCAUCACCAUGACACUGUCACUGCUCUGCUCCCUUUUCCUACUCGCUGCCCCGUCAGGUGUCCUCUCCCAGGUGCAGCUGGUCCAGACUGGCCCGGGAGCGAUGAAACCCGGAGAGACCCUCAGUAUCACCUGUAAGGUUUCUGGAGUCUCCGUCAGCAGCUACUAUUGGAGCUGGGUCCGGCAGCCCGCUGGGAAAGGGCUGGAGUGGAUGGGGCGCAUCCAGAGCACUGCAGCGGGAGGCAGCACGGAGUACAGCUCGGCUUUCAGUAGCCGGAUCACCAUCACCAGGGACACCUCGAAGGACGAAGUUUAUCUCCAGCUGCGCUCGCUGACAGCUGCAGACACCGGCACCUAUUACUGCGCCAGGGACACAGUGACACAGAGCAGAGCAGGACUGGCACAAAAAGAGGAAGCGAGUUCCGCGCAGACACUCAGGGCCCUUUUACACAAACGUCCCUGCUCCUGGUAGCAGGGAAACAUUCACUCUUCUGGCCAUUAUUAUCUCACAAUCACUGGGCAGGGGCUGUCACCUCAGAGAACCGACAUGGGUGAUGAUGGGACUGAUCUACAGCCCUUUGGAACCAAUGAAACUCUCGCCUCUGAUUUCACACAACUUCGGUUGUUGUGGCCAUAAGAAAGAUCUACACGGUGCGAGCAGAUCCACAGCUGGAAUCAAUGAUCACAGAUCCACUGGAUUCAAUAUAGCAGCUACCCCUGAUUAUGCCAGCUGGCAAUCUGGAACUUUUAUUCAAACAGUUAAACACUCUAGUAAACACAUGGGAGCUAUUCAUCCAAUGGGAUUUGGGUGCCUAACUCCCUUAGGUUCCUUUGAAAAUCCGAGUCUUUCAUAGGAGGAGGUUCCAUCUAUACAUUUAGAACUAA